rnacentral:rRNA from 1 species
GCCGCAGUAUUUUAACUGUGCAAAGGUAGCAUAAUCAUUUGCUUUUUAAUUGAAAGCUGGAAUGAAAGGGUUGAUGAGGUUUAUACUUUUUUAAUUUUAAUGUUUUGAAUUUUAUUUUUGAGUUAAAAAGCUUAAAUUUUUUUAUUAGACGAUAAGACCCUAUAGAACUUUAUUUUUUUAUUUUUAAUUGAUUUUUAGUUUAUUAUUUUUAAUCAUAAGUUCAAGAAUUUGGUUGGGGUGAUCUUUAGAUUUUAUUAACUCUAUUUUUUAACUAUCACAAAUUUGUGUAUUAUUGAUCCUGUUUUAUAGAUUAAUAGAUUAAGUUACCUUAGGGAUAACAGCGUAAUUUUAUUUGAGAGUUCAUAUUAAUAAUAAAGUUUGCGACCUCGAUGUUGGAUUAAA